rnacentral:rRNA from 1 species
UGGGGAAUAUUGCACAAUGGGCGCAAGCCUGAUGCAGCCAUGCCGCGUGUGUGAAGAAGGCCUUCGGGUUGUAAAGCACUUUCAGCGAGGAGGAAGGUGGUGGACUUAAUACGUUCAUCAAUUGACGUUACUCGCAGAAGAAGCACCGGCUAACUCCGUGCCAGCAGCCGCGGUAAUACGGAGGGUGCAAGCGUUAAUCGGAAUUACUGGGCGUAAAGCGCACGCAGGCGGUUUGUUAAGUCAGAUGUGAAAUCCCCGGGCUCAACCUGGGAACUGCAUUUGAAACUGGCAAGCUAGAGUCUCGUAGAGGGGGGUAGAAUUCCAGGUGUAGCGGUGAAAUGCGUAGAGAUCUGGAGGAAUACCGGUGGCGAAGGCGGCCCCCCUGGACGAAGACUGACGCUCAGGUGCGAAAGGCGUGGGGGAGCAAAACAGGAUUAGAUACCCUGGUAGUCCACGCUGUAAACGAUGUCGAUUUUGGAGGUUGUGCCCUUGAGGCGUGGCUUCCGGAGCUAACGCGUUAAAUCGACCGCCUGGGGAGUACGGCCNCAAGGUUAAAACU